rnacentral:rRNA from 1 species
CGCGUAGGCGGUUCGCUAAGUUGAAUGUGAAAACUCUGGGCUUAACCCAGAGCCUGCAUCCAAAACUGGCGAACUGGAGUACUGGAGGGGAAAGCGGAAUUCCUGGCGUAGCGGUGAAAUGCGUAGAUAUCAGGAGGAACACCGGUGGCGAAGGCGGCUUUCUGGACAGUAACUGACGCUGAGGCGCGAAAGCCGGGGAGCAAACA